rnacentral:rRNA from 1 species
CCUACGGGUGGCAGCAGUGGGGAAUAUUGCACAAUGGGGGAAACCCUGAUGCAGCGACGCCGCGUGAAGGAAGAAGUAUUUCGGUAUGUAAACUUCUAUCAGCAGGGAAGAAAAUUACGGUACCUGACUAACAAUCCCCGGCUAACUCCGUGCCAGCAGCCGCGGUCAUACGCAGGGGGCAAGCGUUAUCCGGAUUUACUGGGUGUAACGGGAGCGUAGGCGGCUUAGCAAGUCAGGAGUGAAAGCCCGGGGCUCAACGCCGGGACUGCUUUUGACACUGGUGAACUAGAUUGCAGGAGAGGUAAGUGGAAUUCCUAGUGUAGCGGUGAAAUGCGUAGAUAUUAGGAGGAACACCAGUGGCGAAGGCGGCUUACUGGACUGUAAAUGACGCUGAGGCUCGAAAGCGUGGGGAGCAAACAGGAUUAGAUACCCCAGUAGUC